rnacentral:rRNA from 1 species
AUUGAACGCUGGCGGCAGGCCUAACACAUGCAAGUCGAACGGUAACAGGAAGCAGCUUGCUGCUUCGCUGACGAGUGGCGGACGGGUGAGUAAUGUCUGGGAAACUGCCUGAUGGAGGGGGAUAACUACUGGAAACGGUAGCUAAUACCGCAUAACGUCGCAAGACCAAAGAGGGGGACCUUAGGGCCUCUUGCCAUCGGAUGUGCCCAGAUGGGAUUAGCUAGUAGGUGGGGUAACGGCUCACCUAGGCGACGAUCCCUAGCUGGUCUGAGAGGAUGACCAGCCACACUGGAACUGAGACACGGUCCAGACUCCUACGGGAGGCAGCAGUGGGGAAUAUUGCACAAUGGGCGCAAGCCUGAUGCAGCCAUGCCGCGUGUAUGAAGAAGGCCUUCGGGUUGUAAAGUACUCUCAGCGGGGAGGAAGGGAGUAAAGUUAAUACCUUUGCUCAUUGACGUUACCCGCAGAAGAAGCACCGGCUAACUCCGUG